CAGUAGCUCUUGGGGAGUGAGGAGAAAUAAAGUGAAGAUAUUUAAAACCUGAGCGGUAGCCUUAGAAGAUGAUGAGGAAACAAAAAAGAGAAGACCAGGAAGGAAACUAAGAAAUGUUUUAAGGAGGAGGGAGUAGACAUCUGUCAAGAGCUACUGAUGGGCCAGCUUACAGUCUACACAAAAGGAUAUGGUAAUGCACUGAAGCAAGAGAUUCAAAUGAACAACAAUUCCAGCUCAUUUUAGAAGAAGAGAAAGAUGCUGUCAGCACCAGCCAGGACAGGUGUCGCCCACCCC